CAGUAGCCGCGGGAAUACGAAGGGGGCUAGCGUUGCUCGGAAUGACUGGGCGUAAAGGGCGCGUAGGCGGCGGCCAAAGUCAGGCGUGAAAUUCCCGGGCUCAACCUGGGGGCUGCGUUUGAUACUUGGUUGCUUGAGUGGGGAAGAGGGUCGUGGAAUUCCCAGUGUAGAGGUGAAAUUCGUAGAUAUUGGGAAGAACACCGGUAGCGAAGGCGGCAACCUGGUCCUUGACUGACGCUGAGGCGCGAAAGCGUGGGGAGCAAACAGGAUUAGAUACCCGCGUAGUCCCUGUCUCUUAUAC
rnacentral:rRNA from 1 species